AUGUUGUUUUGGACUUUUGGAAUUACAUUGUUUGGGUCGGGGUCAUGUUGCUUUCUUAGUUUUUUGUUUUUGUUGUUUUGCAUUUUCAUUUUUGCAAGUUGGCAUUUUGCUAUGAUAAUGAUCAUUGGCUUUUUGCAAGUUGGCUUUCUUAGUUUCAUUUUUGUUGAUAAUGAUCAUUUUGCCAUCACUUUCGGGCUAUCAUGA